CUACGGGUGGCACCAGUGGGGAAUAUUGGACAAUGGGCGCAAGCCUGAUCCAGCCAUGCCGCGUGAGUGACGAAGGCCUUAGGGUUGUAAAACUCUUUUGGCGGGGACGAUAAUGACGGUACCCGCAGAAUAAGCCCCGGCUAACUUCGUGCCAGCAGCCGCGGUAAUACGAAGGGGGCUAGCGUUGUUCGGAAUCACUGGGCGUAAAGCGCACGUAGGCGGACUGGUCAGUUGGGGGUGAAAUCCCGGGGCUCAACCUCGGAACUGCCUUCAAUACUGCCAGUCUUGAGUCCGAGAGAGGUGAGUGGAAUUCCUAGUGUAGAGGUGAAAUUCGUAGAUAUUAGGAAGAACACCAGUGGCGAAGGCGGCUCACUGGCUCGGUACUGACGCUGAGGUGCGAAAGCGUGGGGAGCAAACAGGAUUAGAUACCCGGGUAGUC
rnacentral:rRNA from 1 species